UACGUAGGGUGCGAGCGUUGUCCGGAAUUAUUGGGCGUAAAGAGCUCGUAGGCGGUUUGUCGCGUCGGCCGUGAAAACUUGGGGCGUUAACCCCGAGCCUGCGGUCGAUACGGGCAGACUUGAGUUCGGCAGGGGAGACUGGAAUUCCUGGUGUAGCGGUGAAAUGCGCAGAUAUCAGGAGGAACACCGGUGGCGAAGGCGGGUCUCUGGGCCGAUACUGACGCUGAGGAGCGAAAGCGUGGGGAGCGAACAGG
rnacentral:rRNA from 1 species